rnacentral:rRNA from 1 species
GAGCUUGCUCUUAUAAGUUAGUGGCGCACGGGUGAGUAAUAUAUAGCUAAUCUGCCUCUUAGUAGAGGAUAACAGUCGGAAACGAUUGCUAAUACUCUAUACUUCUGCUUUACAUAAGUAAAGUAGAGAAAGUUUUUCGCUAAGAGAUGAGGCUAUACUGUAUCAGCUAGUUGGUAAGGUAACGGCUUACCAAGGCUAUGACGCAUAACUGGUCUGAGAGGAUGAUCAGUCACAUUGGAACUGAGACACGGUCCAAACUCCUACGGGAGGCAGCAGUAGGGAAUAUUGCGCAAUGGGGGAAACCCUGACGCAGCAACGCCGCGUGGAGGAUGACACUUUUCGGAGCGUAAACUCCUUUUAUCGGGAAAGAAUAAUGACGGUACCCGAUGAAUAAGCACCGGCUAACUC